rnacentral:rRNA from 1 species
UACGAAGGGGGCUAGCGUUGCUCGGAAUCACUGGGCUUAAAGGGCGCGUAGGCGGCUUGCCAAGUCAGGGGUGAAAUCUUUCGGCUCAACCGGAAAAGUGCUUCUGAUACGGGCGGGCUGGAGGGGGGUAGGGGCAGAUGGAACUUCCGGUGGAGCGGUGAAAUGCGUAGAUAUCGGAAGGAACGCCGGUGGCGAAAGCGAUCUGCUGGACCCCUUCUGACGCUGAGGCGCGAAAGCCAGGGGAGCGAACGGG